UUCUGUCAUUUAAUUGAAUGUUUGGUGUCAUGAUGGUCGGUGGUGCUGCCGCUUUCAAGAACAACGCUUUCGAAAAAACAGUCAGCCUACGGAAGGAGUGUUCGGAUUUUCGGGUUUUCGUUGUUGCGUGCGUGCGCGUAUAUGUGUGAGGUGCGUGUGCAUUUUUUAAGAAAUUAAUGUGUGAAUGAAGAUCUGAUCGCGUGAAUCUCUGAAAUUUGAUAAAAAAGUGGUUCAAAAUUAAUAAUCUAUAUGAGUCCAUGAAAGAACCUUGCACAUAUGAAGGGCAAGUGUAAAAAAUAGCCUCCCCAGUGUGUGUCAGUGUGUGCUGGAGUAGUGUACGGUGUGGUGGUACACAGAUCGAUAAAUGCUCGUCUUGUGCUCUUGGAUGUGUACUCGGAAGGAUCUCUUCUCAUCUCAUCUCAUCAAUUGAAAGGAUCAGCAAGUGGGUUUUAGUGAUCGUGAGUUUUGUUUUCCAAUCCUUUGAAAAAGCAAAGCAUCAGUGUAUGAGUCAUUACGGGUAACGAAGGAAUUGUGCAAAAUUGGUGAAGAAAAGUUUUAACCAGUGAGCAAAAGCAGUGUUCGAAGCGUAGAGUAGCAAACGCUAACACGUUCGUCCGUAGUGUUUGUCUAGCUGCUUUCUCCCGUGCACGUGUGCGACGACGAAGCCAAGACGACGGCACAUUCGCGCUUCAGAACACAGCACGAUCGGCGGCGGCCAUCCGGUUCCGGCUGAUCGGGUGAAAAAAUGCAUCUGAAAUGUGGAUUAUUGCUACUUUUUAUGCUGCUGCUCCUCAACGACAUCGAAAGUGGUUACGUAAGAGAAUCAAGAAAAGCACGUCCCCUCAACGAGUACAUAUCGCAUUACGAAAAGUUGAGCUACGAUCAUGAGCAUCUGCAUGCUAGUCACAGCCGGGCGAAACGAUCGGUCACCAAAGAUCAUUACGUACAUCUUAGCUUUAGCGCACACGAUCGAGAUUUUAACAUUAGACUUAAACGUGAUCUCAGCACAAUAAGUGAUAAGUUAGAGAUACAUACCGAAAAGGGACCGGUGGCAGUUGACUCGUCCCACAUCUAUCAUGGCGAGGUGAUCGGUGAUCCUGAAAGCUACGUCUUCGGUUCGAUUUUCGACGGCGUAUUUGAGGGAAAGGUUAUCACCUCCGAGGACGAGUACUAUGUGGAGCGGGCGAAGCACUAUUUUCGCAAUUCGUCCAAACCGGAAACGCAUCCACUGCAUCACACCGGUGACGAUGAGCCACCGUUCCAUUCGGUGAUCUACAAGGACCGGGACGUGGACGAUCCUUACCGCCACCGGAGGAAAGGACAUCCCUCCGGAUGUGGUGUACACGAUGAGGUUUCGGAGUGGAUGGAUCGGGUUCAGAAUUCAGCGGUUGAGGAUGAACCUGAACAAGACGAGCAGGAGGAAGUGCGGCAAGACGACAAAACAGUGCAGGUGGACAAGCAGCAUAACGAGAGUAGCAGCACCAACAGCCAACAACAGCAAGCUAGCGGAGCCCAGAACAAGCAUAAAUCAAAUGCCAAAGCGAAGCGACGGUCGGCAUCUUUCGAAAAGGACGUGCGGCCCGACCACGGCGGUAACGAAAUUCCCAUCGAAACUGGGUACGAGUUUAAGUAUCCGUAUGAAAAAUACUCAAAGGCGGCCAAUUGGCGAGCGGUGGGCGAAAGCGUGACCGACUCCGAAUGGCACUGGAAAGCGCACGAGCGGGUCCGGCGAGCGACCCGGCCGAAGGAAGACUAUCGGAACACCUGCUCGCUGUACAUACAGACUGAUCCAUUGCUGUGGAGUCACAUACGUGACAGCAUCGUUAGUCAUCUACAUCGAGCGCGACGUACCGAGCUGGAGGAGAAAACGCGCGAAGAGAUCCUGUCGCUCAUCAUACAUCACAUCACUGCCGUAAACUACAUCUAUCGCAAUACAAAGUUUGAUGGGCGGGUAGAGCAUCGGAACAUUCGGUUUGAGGUCCAACGUUUGAAAAUAGACGACGAUUCGACGUGUGGUGAAAAUCAUCAUGAAGAUACGAAUCCACUGUGUCUAGAAAACAUCGACGUUUCCAACUUUCUCAAUCUACACUCGCUUGGCAACCAUGAAGCGUUCUGCCUGGCGUAUGUGUUUACCUACAGAGACUUCACCGGCGGUACGCUCGGACUGGCCUGGGUUGCGUCGGCUUCCGGUGCUUCUGGCGGCAUUUGCGAAAAGUACAAGACCUACACGGAAACGGUCGGUGGUCUUUACCAGAGCACCAAGCGUUCGCUCAACACCGGCAUCAUUACGUUCGUGAAUUACAACACGCGCGUUCCACCGAAGGUGUCACAGCUGACGCUUGCUCACGAAAUCGGACACAAUUUCGGCUCCCCGCACGAUUAUCCGGCCGAAUGUCGUCCCGGCGGUAACAAUGGCAAUUACAUCAUGUUUGCCAGUGCAACGAGCGGCAUCCGAUUGAACAAUGGCAAGUUUUCGCCCUGCUCGGUGCGAAACAUUUCCAACGUGCUGGACGCGAUCGACGAAAACAAGAAGCGCAACUGCUUCCAGGCCUCGGAGGGUGCGUUCUGCGGCAACAAGAUUGUCGAAAUUGGCGAAGAGUGUGACUGCGGGUUCAACGAGGAGGAGUGCAUGGACAAGUGUUGCUAUCCGCGUGAAAUGACCGAUGCGAUGAAGAUAGAGAAUGCGACCGCGCAAAGCUGUGGACGACGGGCCCGUACGCAAUGCAGCCCAUCGCAGGGACCGUGCUGUGAUAGCAAUACCUGUCGCUUCAUUCCGUCGGACGCGAAGGUAACGUGCAAGGAGGAGACGGAAUGUUCGUGGGGAUCGACGUGUAACGGCACGACACCGGAAUGUCCCGAACCGAAGCCACGUGAUGACAAGACGAAAUGUAACAACGGUACACAACUGUGCAUUAAGGGUGAAUGUUCCGGUUCGAUUUGCUUGCUGUGGAAUAUGACCGAAUGCUUCCUAACGUCCAACAUCAUUCCGAACAUUGACAAACGCAAAUUGUGUGAACUGGCGUGUCAAAAUGGCAACGACACCAACACGUGCCGGAGCACGAGUGAGUUCGCCCGCGAGUACGGGCUACCGGACGGUGGUUACAGCUUGCGACCCGGUUCACCGUGCGAUAACUUCCAAGGUUACUGUGAUGUGUUUCUGAAGUGCCGUGCCGUCGACGCCGAAGGUGCAUUGGUGCGGCUGAAGAAUCUGUUGUUCAAUAAGAAAACGCUCCAAACGGUAGCCGAAUGGGCGACGGAGCGAUGGUACUUGGUGUGCUUGUUCGGUAUUGUGUUUUUCAUCAUGAUGGGCAUCUUCAUCAAGUGCUGUGCGGUGCACACACCCAGCUCCAAUCCGAAGAAAGCGGCCGCGUACCGUAUCUCGGACACGUUGCGCCGUCCGAUGAACACGCUGCGUAUGAUGCGUCGACAUCAUCAUAACGGAGCUGGACCGCGCAGCGUUCCGGUGCCCCGCAACGAACGGUCCCGAAGUGCGGGAGACAGAGGAGGAGGCGGUGGGCGUGGGGGUGGUGAGCGAAACGGUGGGAGGGACCGUGGUGCUGGUAGCCGAACGCGCGGUGCAGAUGGCCACGGUGAUAUGCGCAAUGGUGGUGUACCGGCGGGACACAAUUCCUCGUCGUCGGGCAACAGCCGCCCGUCGAACAGUUCGCGUCCGCCAGCACAUGGGCCAUCACAGCAGUAAGCAGCAGCAACAUUCCCGCAAAGCGAAUUCCAAUCCCCGCGAAGGGGUUCGAGCCAAUCAGACGAGUGCCACAGUGGUGUACAAGAAGUAGUAGUAGAGCCAAGAGAGAGCGAGUAGUACGCAAAAAUCACACAUAAACCGGUGUGUGUGUGGAAGGCAGUGUGUGUCGUCCUUGCUUUUGAGAACGAAAAGUACAAUUCGCACAGCUUGAAGCCAAAUUUGCAGCGUUUCUUUUCAGUGUUACAAAUUACAAAUAGUAGCGGAUGCGACGGACGGCGAGACAUAUUCGCACAUCGUUUUAUGUUUCCUCAGCUAGCAAUUAGAAUGUCUACCUUCACUAGCAGCAGUUUACGUUUCAAGCUAUGAUUCCGUUACACAACCGUGUUCCAACGUACGUUUCUUUAGAUUAUGUUUUUCGAUAAGAAUAAGGAAGCUACGUCAGCGGCAGGCCAAUUUUAUGUUAACACACCACCAACGCAGAACUAUAGCCGCAUGAGCAAUGCGGAGCUGUACGCCGAAGCUUACCCGGACCGGGGAAUGUACGAACCACCGAGACGCCCGUACGCUAACAAUAAGGUUUGACAAGAUCGACGCCAAACGCAGGCCCACCGCCACCGUAACAACAGUCAGACAGCGCCGAUACCGUCUAUACAAUCCGCCGUGCCGAUACUGCUGGGAAUCUUCCUAAUCAUCGGUUUAAAUUUUUCUUUUCAACCCAUUACUCCUCUUAUGCUUCCACCAAUCCCAUGGUCCGCGUUGAUGAUUUCAUUGAACAAGAGAAGCCUUUCAAACACGUGGCCCCAACACCGGUUUGAAUGGGCAGUUGGGACCGGGAUGAAUGGGUAAUGCCAUAAUGGCUGCUUUGGUUUUAUUGCGCAUAAGAAGCUGUUGAAUAGAUUUCAAACUCGAGGAGCGGUUAGUUCACCGAUGAUUGGCGCUUGAAAGAGAGGUGUUAAAAUUAGUAUUCCUUUUUUCCUUGGUUCUCUGUGCUCUGUAUGGCUUUAGUGUGUAGGUUAGAGUUUGAAGUAUUUGCCUGUUUUAUACUGGUGCUUUUGGACUGUUUUUUUUCCUUUUCUUUUGGCACGGAGAGCCCCACAUAAUUACUCGAUGCAAGGAUCAAUACCUGGUUGUAAAGGCAUACCAUCUCGUACCAGCUCGCACAUUCUCCAUAUCUUUUUUUUGGAUAAUUUUAUCUUGGUUUGACUAAAGAGACUGUUGCUUAUACUGUUAUCGUGUUUCGUGGAUCACAUUGUGUUGUUCACACCGUAUCGAGCGUAACAUUUUAAGCGAAAAAACGCCAUUUAAAAGGUAAAUGAUUGUAGUUGAGCGUUGCAAAGAAGUGUGUGCAAAAAACAAGUGUAUAGGAGACUUGGGGUUAACGACCCUCACAAGCAAGCAAGCAGCAGCACCUGUGUGCAAUGCUGCCGGUUGGUAUGGUUAGUCCGUGCUCAAAGGGAUCAAACUAAGAAAAAAAUCAAAUUAAUAAUGCCGCAAUGUGGGCGACGACUCAUACAUACAGUGACCGACAAAAUAAAAGGAGCUCACUAUUGGUUAUUUUUUAUAAUUUCAAUUUUGUUAUUUACUAAUAAUUAAUCGAACACAGUAAGUAAUUAUUUCAAAUAUCUCCUCUUCUAAAUGCUUUUUAUGAAUUUAACAAAAAAAACCCUAAAAAAUUUAAGCAUUUUAAGUUUCUUUUAGUAAGUAUUUUAGAGUACCAAAUCAACUGAUUAGUAUUACAGUGUGUUUGAUUUAUUUUCAACAACAAAAUCGAAUUCGAACAAUUCGAAUCAUGAGCACUGAGCAGCUUUAUUAUGUCGGCCACUGUACAUCAAAUCGGCGCUCCCGUCUGCUAUGAAAAGCUAUGAAAAACCUUAACCAAAACAAAAAAGCGAUUACCGGCAAUAAACAAACACACAUUAAUACACACAUUAUUCAUCUCUGGGUCCAGCAAUAUAAAACACAUGUAAACGAGGAAGAAAGGAUAGUGGAUGGAAGAUACAAUAAUAGUAGCAAAAAAAAAAAAACUUGGAAAGUUUGUAAAAAGGAAAAACGGAAGAAAAACCUGUUAAGCAAAGCGAAAUAAAAUAACACUCACCGAAAAGGCAAACAAAGGGCAAGGCAAAAGCGAAUGCAGUGCUGGAAAUUGUAAGUAAACCAAGAGUACUAGUAGGAAUCGUUUGUAGCGCUGCUCAACAAGUGAAAAACAAAACAAAACCUUCAUUUAAAAUGGUUGAGUGGAAAUAAGCAAAUACAGAGUAUUUAUAUAGUCGAUGCCAAUGGGAAAAUGGCGGCGCACGUGACGGCCGAGCAAGCAAAAUGGAAGGGAUUGAACGAAAAGCUAGCAAAAUUUUUGUGAAUUGUUGUGAGACGAAUGUGAAUGGCAGAAUGAAGUUAGGAAGAUUUAUUUACUUCGCACGAGGACCGAUUCCGUGAGUCGAGAAGAGAAGGAUGCUUGUGUUGCUCCCCCGCAGGCAAAUUAUAGUACGAAGUUCCUCUCUUAGUUUGUGUCGUGCUGUAAGUUUUACUUUUACAAAUUUUGCUCCAAAGUGUACUCCAGGCGCACAAAAUACUUGAUCCGCAGUUGUUAAGUUAGGGCAAAACUAGUUUGAAAACUGUUGGCUUCGUAUGGGAGAAAUAGUUUCGAAACAUCGGGAGCAUAUGUACAAUGCAAAAUAUCAAAAUAGUUUGGGUAAAAGGUUUGAACGUAAGGAGGGUUUACAUUCAUUUUUCUUGUUUAGUUUUUUGUAAUUAAAAAUCAAAAUCAGAAGCAUCAGAUCAACACUAGUAGAAGAGGGUGACGACUGUGUGGCGUCGGUGGAACAAUUUAGUAAAAUAUUGAUUUGUUACGAAGAGCGGGCAGAGAGAAAGCUAACGAUAUAAGGAGGGCCAGCUUGAAAUGAAAGGAUUUAAAUAAUGAUAAACGCAAAAGAAAGAAAAGAAAACAAGUGAGGGUAAAUAGUAGACAAAACACAAUAUUUAAAGCGGAUACAUGUGAUAUAUAUUUUUCUAAAAAUAAUAAAAUGAAAAACCCCUAACUAACGCUGGAAAGAUAAGGCCGGGAAACGUAAGCAGAAACCAAUGCGGGACACACAACAUUCACACACAGACAUAUAAAAGCAGAAAGAGAAUAAUAAGUAAACUAUAGGCAGGAGACAGACAGAACGCGAUGCGCAAUGUAACAAUAAAACAAGCAAAUGUAGAUCAAAAUAGUGUCACAAAUAGUAAAAAAAAAACAAACUCCAAACCGUACUCUUCACCGAACGCCACAAACUCAAGCGCUCAAGGAAAAAGGACAAAAAGCCCGACAACAUUGCAGUUUGUAGAGAAACAAACAUCCCACACCAAGCAAAGUCUAUCCAUUGAAAUUGUACAACUCAAAUGCUGCAAAACACAAACAAAAAAGACCGUGUACACAAACCAACCCCAAAUCGGUUGCCACCUUAGGGGUUCCAUCAUUAACACAAACAGUAGUCAAUAGAGAAGAAUGUCGAAACGGGAAAACGUGCUCAAAAAUGCUUCCGUCGUGUUUGUGGGUGUGUCACGGGGUUUAAAAUACUUUCGGGAUCAUUUUUUACUGUUUCAAACAAACGUGCUCGUUCCAAUUUUUGAGUAUUGUAAUAACUUUUGAUAACGACUCUUGUUAAGCCAGCCAGUUAAGUUGGUGGUUAUGCCGGCAAGCUAACAGCAAGUUUUAGGUUGCUUUUUUAUUUGAAAAUUCUAUUUUCUAUAACGGCGACUGACUUUUUAAACUGAAAAGGAAAGCGCUCGCAAAUAAAGAUCGUAAUAUUUGGCUGCUUCAAAACAAGGAAAAGCUGAUGGGAAAGCUGUGUGUAUUGAACAAAAACAAAAAGGAAAAAGGAUAAGACAAGAGGAUUAUAAGGAAUAGGCAGUUGAGUUGUUGUGUGCAUCAGUGGUGGUGGCACCGAUUACACCGAAAUUUAUUCUUCCAAUUGAGGGUGUCGCACGAAAGACGAUGCUGUAAAGUAAGGCGGCGAACAUAUAAAAGAAAGGAGAAAAUCAGGAAACAGGAGAUACAUAAAACCAAACAGCCAAACAAAACUACAUACAGCAUUGCUGUAUGAGACAAAGGUGGAAAAGACGGGAUAAAACCAACAGAAACAAUGGUAAUAUGUAAAAAAAUCAUAUUGGAUGAAGAAAAAAAAGGAAAGCUCUAAAAGAACAGAGCAACACAUAAAACAAGAAAAAAGAAGAAAACACUAAAACCGACUGGCGGUAGAACAAAAAAAAAGAGCGUGAAAAUAGUAUGUUUCUAUUAUUGUAACUAUUUGUAAAUGUUUGUACAUAGUGCGUUUGAAGCAAAGCGAGAAGAGCAGCCGAAAGUGAAGAAGGAAUGGAACACAUAACAAGAGGGAGGAGCGAACGGAAUAAUGCGAAGUAUAUAAGCAAAACCCGGUAUGCGUAAAAGCUUAGGACAAUGUAAAAUGUGGAUCAUUAAAGAUGUGGGGCGGCAAGCAGCGGUUUGCUAAGGAGAGGAUCUAGGAUCUGACCGGAUGAUCUGAGUGGAAAGUCUGAAUGAUGAUGAUUGCAUUAGUGAUAACACAAUAAAGGAGAAUAAAAAACAAACAAUCCUGCUGAAAAAAUA